rnacentral:rRNA from 1 species
AGUCGAGCGGUAACAUUUCUAGCUUGCUAGAAGAUGACGAGCGGCGGACGGGUGAGUAAUGCUUGGGAACAUGCCUUGAGGUGGGGGACAACCAUUGGAAACGAUGGCUAAUACCGCAUAAUGUCUACGGACCAAAGGGGGCUUCGGCUCUCGCCUUUAGAUUGGCCCAAGUGGGAUUAGCUAGUUGGUGAGGUAAAGGCUCACCAAGGCGACGAUCCCUAGCUGGUUUGAGAGGAUGAUCAGCCACACUGGAACUGAGACACGGUCCAGACUCCUACGGGAGGCAGCAGUGGGGAAUAUUGCACAAUGGGCGCAAGCCUGAUGCAGCCAUGCCGCGUGUGUGAAGAAGGCCUUCGGGUUGUAAAGCACUUUCAGUCAGGAGGAAAGGUUAGUAGUUAAUACCUGCUAGCUGUGACGUUACUGACAGAAGAAGCACCGGCUAACUCCGUGCCAGCAGCCGCGGUAAUACGGAGGGUGCGAGCGUUAAUCGGAAUUACUGGGCGUAAAGCGUACGCAGGCGGUUUGUUAAGCGAGAUGUGAAAGCCCCGGGCUUAACCUGGGAACUGCAUUUCGAACUGGCAAACUAGAGUGUGAUAGAGGGUGGUAGAAUUUCAGGUGUAGCGGUGAAAUGCGUAGAGAUCUGAAGGAAUACCGAUGGCGAAGGCAGC